CCUACGGGAGGCAGCAGUAAGGAAUAUUGGGCAAUGGAGGCAACUCUGACCCAGCCAUGCCGCGUGAAGGAUGACUGCCCUAUGGGUUGUAAACUUCUUUUGUAUGGGAGUAAACUCUCGUUCGUGAACGAGACUGAAUGUACCAUAAGAAUAAGCACCGGCUAACUCCGUGCCAGCAGCCGCGGUAAUACGGAGGGUGCAAGCGUUAUCCGGAUUUAUUGGGUUUAAAGGGUGCGUAGGCGGGAUUGUAAGUCAGUGGUGAAAUCUUCCGGCUCAACCGGAAAACUGCCAUUGAUACUGCAGACCUAGAGUACAUUUGAAGUGGGCGGAAUGUGUCAUGUAGCGGUGAAAUGCUUAGAGAUGACACAGAACACCGAUUGCGUAGGCAGCUCACUAAACUGUAACUGACGCUGAGGCACGAAAGCGUGGGGAUCAAACAGGAUUAGAUACCCUGGUAGUCCACGCCGUAAACUAUGAUUACUCGAUGUUGGCGAUACACUGUCAGCGUCUGNGNGAAGANAUAGUAUCNCCGNGGAGAGUCGNGAGAGAGAACGACGAAGAGUAGAGCGNGAGAGNGCGAGGACGACGACGAGGGGAGGAGG
rnacentral:rRNA from 1 species